GAAAUGACUGCUAAUACCGCAUAACCCGAUAGGAUCGCAUGAUCCAGACGGAAAAGAUUUAUCGGUGUGAGAUGGACCCGCGUCUGAUUAGCCAGUUGGUGAGGUAACGGCCCACCAAGGCGACGAUCAGUAGCCGGCCUGAGAGGGUGAACGGCCACAUUGGGACUGAGACACGGCCCAAACUCCUACGGGAGGCAGCAGUGGGGAAUAUUGCACAAUGGGGGAAACCCUGAUGCAGCGACGCCGCGUGAGUGAAGAAGUAUUUCGGUAUGUAGAGCUCUAUCAGCAGGGAAGAAAAUGACGGUACCUGACUAAGAAGCCCCGGCUAACUACGUGCCAGCAGCCGCGGUAAUACGUAGGGGGCAAGCGUUAUCCGGAUUUACUGGGUGUAAAGGGAGCGUAGACGGUCAAGCAAGUCAGAAGUGAAAGGCUGGGGCUCAACCCCGGGACUGCUUUUGAAACUGUUUGACUGGAGUGCUGGAGAGGUAAGCGGAAUUCCUAGUGUAGCGGUGAAAUGCGUAGAUAUUAGGAGGAACACCAGUGGCGAAGGCGGCUUACUGGACAGUAACUGACGUUGAGGCUCGAAAGCGUGGGGAGCAAACAG
rnacentral:rRNA from 1 species